GCAGUCUGCAGUCCAAAGAGGACUCUGAAUUUACUAUACUGGCAUCCUGAUCUCAGACUUCCACGUUCCAGAACUGUUUAAUCUAGGAACUGGAAGUAUGGCAGUGGACAAGAUCAAGUCUCCACCUUCAAUGAGUCAAAAAUGCAACUGGGGAUAGAAAGGAGUGUGUUUUGAAGACAGCAAAUGCCAAAAUUAUAUAGACAUAGCUACAUUCUCAUUGUUUUAAAAACUCAGAGAUUGUUUUAGUUUCUUGGCAUUCCUGAAUGCAGUUCCUUUGGAUAUGAUCUUCUAAAGCUUUUUCUUCAAAGAUUUCUUUUAAUGGAAAUAUGGGCUAAUACAGAUUCCCAAAAAAACAGUACACAUAAAUGAUGUUAAAAUCUUUAGCUGAAAUAGGAUAGUACCUCAAAGUGACGACAGCUUCCAUAUGUCAGAAGAAUCCUCCUUGUGUGAGAUGCAUACACAAAUGAUUAUUCCGGAAUGAUUGAGAGAACUCUCCUAGCUACAUUUAUUAAAUGGUAGAAAUUAUAUGUAAUAUAAAUUGCUUGUAAAUCAGAUUUUGGUCCAAUUGUUAAUGUUAGACACAAGACAUUUGACAAAUGGUUCUAGGAAUAAAGUUUGUGAGUAAAGUUGU